GAAGAGAAAGGGGGGAGGGAAGCUCACAGGACCCAGGAGCUUAAGACAUGGAGGCUCACAGCACUCACACAGGAAGCCGAGAACAUCACAAGAUUCAUUACAGCCUCUCUGUGAGGCUACAGGAUCAGAGAGCAAUCAGUGGGGGAGGAGAGACUCUGCUGGGGACCUGCGUGCACAUCAGGCAGGGAAUACCCGGUAGGCAGCGUUAGUGGACAGUCUGAGGCAUUAAGGACCUAAUCCAGGGAGCCCCAGAGGAUUGAGCAUCUUAAUGAACACAUCUUACUCUUUCAUUUCACAUCACCUCGACCCAUGCCCUUCUAACUCUGCCAGCCACACAAGUGGAGCUUUUUAGUGUUAUAGCUGCCCCAGAGUCACCCAUGUGCCUGUACGUAGCCCCAGUAAAUGGAUGGAUUCACUGUUCCAGUUAGAUUUCUGUUGCCGUGAUAGACACCAUGACAAAAGGCAACUCGGGGGCUGGAGAGAAGGCUCAGUGGUUAAGAGCACUGACUGCUCUUCCAGAGGUCCUGAGUUCAAUUCCCAGCAACCACAUGGUGGCUCACAACCAUCUGUAAUGGGAUGUGAUGCCCUCUUCUGGUGUGUCUGAAGACAUCAACAGUGUACUCAUAUACAUAAAAUAAAUAAACCUUAAAAAUAAAGGCAA
rnacentral:lncRNA from 1 species